ensembl:lncRNA
UCUCCUUCAGUCUGGAUUUGUUCCUCAGUCUUUCCUUGACUUCAUGAUCUUGAUGGUUUUGAAGACACAAGUCCAAUUAUUUUGUCAAAUGUCCCUCAGUUUUGGUUUACUGAUGUUUCCUCAUUAGAUUUAAGUUAUACAUCUUUGCUAGGAGUAUUCCAGAGGUGAUGCUGCUACAUCCUCAUUAGAUUUAAGUUAUACGUCUUUGCUAGGAGUAUUCCAGAAGUGAUGCUGCAUUCCUUUCAUUGCACUACUAAAAGGCGUAGGAUUCAAAUGUAUCCCAUUACUGAUGACAUUAAUUUUGAUCGCUGGAUUAAGAUUGUAUCUCUCAGCCUUUUCCACUGUGAAAUUACUUCUCUCCUCUUUGUAGGUAAUGAAGUAAUUAAUGAAUAUAUAUGGGAAGCUGCUUUGAGACUCUGUAAAUAUCCUGUUAAUCAUCAAACUUUCAAUUUACUCUUUAUUUAUGUCAGUAUGAACUCAUGAAUUGCUAUUUAUUCAAUGGAUUUUAAUCUAUUGUUAUUUAUUAUCAUCGUUUAUUUUGGUACUGAAUUGUCAAGCUGGCUUUAGAGUCCUUUUGACAUGUUCUGUCGUUCUUUGAAAACUGCCUUAUUUUCUGGCACAAAAAGUUGUUUCAGGCUCACCUUUUACUUUUUCUAUUCGGUCUUAGAAUUAGCCAUUUUUUUUUAAGGAAUGCGGUAUUCUUUUAGUGAAAAAUGGUAUUUAGAACCCAAAAUCUGGGUUCUUGAUGAGUUUACUGCUGUUGGGGUGUUAUUGCUCCCACCCUCUCUCAGAGGGAAGAGCUAGGGAAUACACACAUUUACAUCUCUAUUUCUCUCUAUAUUGAUAACUAUGAGUUCACAUUUAUAUCUCUAAUUCAAAUCCAUAGGGUUUACUCUAGUUUUCUCCCUUUCCAUUUUCGUAACUGUGAUGGUUAAUUUUAUGUGUCAGUCUGACUGGGCUACGGGGCCCCCAGAUACUUGGUUAAACAUUAUACCGGUGUGUCUGUGAGGGUGUUUCUGGAUGAGAUAAACAUUUGAAUUAAGUUUAGUAAAGCUGAUUGCCCUCCCCAGUGUGUGUGGGCCUCAUCCAACCCACUGAAGUCCUGAAUAGAACAAAAAGGCUGAGUAAGAACGAAUUCACUCUCUGCCUGACUGUCUUCGAGCUGGGACAUUGGUCUUCACCUGCCUUCGGACUUGGACUUGGACUUGGACUCAGGCUGACAGGUACACCAUUAGCUCUCCUAGUUCUCAGGCCUUUGGACUGGAGCUACACCAUUGGCUCUUCUGGGUCUCCAGUUUGCCAACAGCAGAUCUGGGGACUUCUCAGCCUCCAUAACCACGCUGGUCACAAGCUACAAACUGGAUCAUUUGACACAUCUCUCGUGCACUUGAAACUCAAAUUGAAACUCUGCCAUUUUAACUGUACAAAGAAAAAUAACUUUUCAAAGCCCCACAUAUAUAUUUUUCUGAUUCAUCCUUUUGAUAUUUUACUUGGACCAAAACCCAAAUUCACUUGGUUUUCUCCAAGCACAUAUUUGGGCUACUUCCAUCAUUGUUCUUGGAAAUGGUUUUUCCUUUUGACAUACUGUAUGUUCAGUAUACAACCUGGUCAACACCAUCACAGGCCACAGCACUGACUCCCUCGUGGGCUGUCAGGAGCAUCUCAAAAAGAUUAUGUCUCCACUUAGGCUCAUCAGCUGCUUGUUUUGCAAUGUUCAGGAAAACACGUGUGUGUGUGUUUAUGUGUUUAUGUCAGCGUGAGUUUUGUGUCUGCUGGGGGAAAUGCUGGGUUAGCAUGUUUUUCAGAGUUUGAAGAAUUUCUGUGGCUUAUUUGCUGAUAUGAAUAAAAGUCAGAACAUGUUUUGGAAA